ACGGGUGCGGAACACGUACGCAACCUUCCCAAAACUGGUGAAUAGCCUUUCGAAAGAGAGAUUAAUACACCGUAACUUAAUGAAGUGGCAUCACUUUAUUAAUAUAGCUCCGGCGGUUUUGGAUGGGCGUGCGCCUGAUUAGGUAGUUGGCGGGGUAAUGGCCCACCAAGCCUACGAUCAGUAACUGGUGUGAGAGCACGACCAGUCACACGGGCACUGAGACACGGGCCCGACUCCUACGGGAGGCAGCAGUAAGGAAUAUUGGUCAAUGGACGCAAGUCUGAACCAGCCAUGCCGCGUGGAGGAUGAAGGUCCUCUGGAUUGUAAACUUCUUUUAUCGGAGAAGAAACCCCAGUUUUCUUGCUGGGUUGACGGUACCCGAUGAAUAAGCACCGGCUAACUCCGUGCCAGCAGCCGCGGUAAUACGGAGGGUGCAAGCGUUAUCCGGAUUCACUGGGUUUAAAGGGUGCGUAGGUGGGCUAGUAAGUCCGUGGUGAAAUCCCCGAGCUUAACUCGGGAACUGCCGUGGAUACUAUUAGUCUUGAAUAUCGUGGAGGUAAGCGGAAUAUGUCAUGUAGCGGUG
rnacentral:rRNA from 1 species